rnacentral:rRNA from 1 species
AUUGAACGCUGGCGGCAUGCUUUACACAUGCAAGUCGAACGGUAACAGGGAGCUUGCUCCGCUGACGAGUGGCGAACGGGUGAGUAAUGCGUCGGAACGUGCCGAGUAGUGGGGGAUAACGCAUCGAAAGGUGUGCUAAUACCGCAUACGAACUGAGGUUGAAAGUGGGGGACCUUCGGGCCUCACGCUAUUCGAGCGGCCGACGUCUGAUUAGCUAGUUGGUGAGGUAAAGGCUCACCAAGGCGACGAUCAGUAGCGGGUCUGAGAGGAUGAUCCGCCACACUGGGACUGAGACACGGCCCAGACUCCUACGGGAGGCAGCAGUGGGGAAUUUUGGACAAUGGGCGCAAGCCUGAUCCAGCCAUGCCGCGUGUCUGAAGAAGGCCUUCGGGUUGUAAAGGACCUUUGUCCGGGAGCAAAUGCUGGUGGCUAACAUCCACCGGAGCUGAGAGUACCGGAAGAAUAAGCACCGGCUAACUACGUGCCAGCAGCCGCAGUAACAC